ACCUGCCUGUGCCUUGUAAUGUGAGCCUGUAUUUCUUUCACGGUGAAGCGAUUCGUAGCAUGUUACGUCAUCUGUCAAGCGGGUUGCACAGCGCAACCAACCUCCAGGCACACCUUAUUCACGAGAUUUUGAAGAACACCUUGGAUGGGAACUCACCUCAGCAUCUUGCAAAGCGUCUACCACACGACAUAUAAAAUGCGGAGAAACAUUGAUGUGGAAUUCAAACCCACGAUAACAAGACAGCGGCCAUUUUGAUGGGGUUACGUUGUUCUCUUUUGUCGAUUAAUCGGUAGGAACAUUGUACCUUUUAUUAUAACCUCGAAAUAAAAUAAUAUUUCAUGCA